rnacentral:rRNA from 1 species
GAUGAACGCUGGCGGCAUGUUUAAGGCAUGCAAGUCAAAGGGGUGUAGCAAUACAUUACCUGGCAGACGGGUGCGUAACACAUUGGUAAUCUGCCUCCAUCUCAAGUAUAACCCCGCGAAAGCGGGGACAAUCCUUGAUAGUCAUGAGGGGUCGCAAGACAUUCUCAUGUAAAGCUUCGGCGGAUGGAGAGGAGCCUAUGGCCCAUCAGCAGUUGGUAGGGUAACGGCCUACCAAGGCUAUGACGGGUAGCGGGUGUGAGAGCACGACCCGCCUCA